AGGCUGAUACCUCCAUAACGGGCAGCAGGUAUCCUAGUGGUUAGAGGACCCAUGUAUCCUAGUAGGUAGGGGAGACAGGUAUCCUAGUGGUUAGAGGAGACAGGUAUCCUAGUGGUUAGAGGAGGCAGGUAUCCUAGUGGUUAGAGGAGACAGGUAUCCUAGUGGUUAGAGGACACAGGUAGCCUAGAGGUUAGAGGAGGCAGGUAUCCUAGUGGUUAGAGGAGGCUGAUACCUCCAUAACGGGCAGCAGGUAUCCUAGUGGUUAGAGGAGAGAGGUAGCCUAGUGGUUAGAGGAGACAGGUAGCCUAGUGGUUAGAGGAGACAGGUAGCCUAGUGGUUAGAGGAGACAGGUAGCCUAGUGGUUAGAGGAGACAGGUAGCCUAGUGGUUAGAGGAGGCAGGUAGCCUAGUGGUUAGAGGAGGCAGGUAGCCUAGUGGUUAGAGGAGGCAGGUAGCCUAGUGGUUAGAGGAGACAGGUAGCCUAUUGGUUAGAGGAGACAGGUAGCCUAGUGGUUAGAGGAGACAGGUAGCCUAGUGGUUAGAGGAGACAGGUAGCCUAGUGGUUAGAGGAGGCAGGUAGCCUAGUGGUUAGAGGAGGCAGGUAACCUAGUGGUUAGAGGAGACAUGUAGCCUAGUGGUUAGAGGAGACAGGUUGUCUAGUGGUUAGAGGAGACAGGUCGUCUAGUGGUUAGAGGAGGCAGGUAGCCUAGUGGUUAGAGGAGGCAUGUAACCUAGUGGUUAGAGGAGGCAGGUAUCCUAGUGGUUAGAGGAGGCAGGUAGCCUAGUGGUUAGAGGAGGCAGGUAUCCUAGUGGUUAGAGGAGGCAGGUAG